UAGGGAAUCUUCCACAAUGGACGCAAGUCUGAUGGAGCAACGCCGCGUGAGUGAAGAAGGUUUUCGGACCGUAAAGCUCUGUUGUUGGUGAAGAAGGAUAGAGGUAGUAACUGGCCUUUAUUUGANGGUAAUCAACCAGAAAGUCACGGCUAACUACGUGCCAGCAGCCGCGGUAAUCGUAGGUGGCAAGCGUUGUCCGGAUUUAUUGGGCGUAAAGCGAGCGCAGGCGGAAGAAUAAGUCUGAUGUGAAAGCCCUCGGCUUAACCGAGGAAUUGCAUCGGAAACUGUUUUCUUGAGUGCAGAAGAGGAGAGUAGAACUCCAUGUGUAGCGGUGGAAUGCGUAGAUAUAUGGAAGAAUACCAGUGGCGAAGGCGGCUCUCUGGUCUGCAACUGACGCUGAGGCUCGAAAGCAUGGGUAGCGAACAGGAUUAGAUACCCUGGUAGUCCAUGCCGUAAACGAUGAGUGCUAAGUGUUGGGAGGCUUCCGCCUCUCAGUGCUGCAGCUAACGCAUUAAGCACUCCGCCUGGGGGAGUACGACCGCAAGGUUGAA
rnacentral:rRNA from 1 species